UAGGGAAUCUUCCGCAAUGGGCGAAAGCCUGACGGAGCAACGCCGCGUGAGUGAUGAAGGUCUUCGGAUCGUAAAACUCUGUUAUUAGGGAAGAACAAAUGUGUAAGUAACUAUGCACAUCUUGACGGUACCUAAUCAGAAAGCCACGGCUAACUACGUGCCAGCAGCCGCGGUAAUACGUAGGUGGCAAGCGUUAUCCGGAAUUAUUGGGCGUAAAGCGCGCGUAGGCGGUUUUUUAAGUCUGAUGUGAAAGCCCACGGCUCAACCGUGGAGGGUCAUUGGGAACUGGAAAACUUGAGUGCAGAAGAGGAAAGUGGAAUUCCAUGUGUAGCGGUGAAAUGCGCAGAGAUAUGGAGGAACACCAGUGGCGAAGGCGACUUUCUGGUCUGUAACUGACGCUGAUGUGCGAAAGCGUGGGGAUCAAACAGG
rnacentral:rRNA from 1 species